CCUCCUCACUCUCGGAGCCGGCCACCACCGGAAUCCCCCCCGCCGGCGGUGUCGGGCGGCUGGGGCACCAGGGCGUAGCAGCACGAGUGGCACCUCAUGGCGGACCUCCUCUCGCCGCUCCUCGACGACCCACGUCUCCACCUCCACGACGGGCUGCCUUGAGUGUGAGGCGGCGGCGGCGGCAGGCAUGCCAGAGUUGUCAUCCAACUUGUGCGCGUCAGGUCCGGGCCCAUGGAGGGCGGGCCGGGGGUGAGGAACACGCUUAAGGCUUGCUUUCAGCACAACAACCUGUCCGUGGGACUGACAAGUUCAUUUCAGCCAAGCUGCCCACAUCUUCCCAUGCAAAUCCCUUUUGAUGCCUCACUGCACGGGAGACGGCACCAGCCUCAACCCAGUCCACUCUUGGUGAUCUAUGUUCCGGCUGAGCGAUGCAAGGCGGGGCAUACAGGCCGUUGCAUGAAGAACUGAUGAUCUGUCUAGUCAUCAUAUGCCACAACUGUAGUCCAAGGGCUCCGAUUGAAGCGACAGCUAUUGCAAUAUUGGGACUGCGAUACCUACAAAAGGAUAAUUUGUGAGCAAUAUAAAUGCAAGCCAACAAGCAUGAAAUGGCAAUUCAGAGUAACUAUAUGUUCAGACUCCACAGCAAAAAGGAUUUCAUUAUAGGGAUGGACUCGAAAGAGUGAUCUUGUUAUCCUCUCAAGUAGAGGAAGAAUAAUCCCUAGUUCAAAGCUUUUGGAGUUUUGGUGUUACACGUAACACAUGAUUCCCAGUUGAUAUGACCCUAGAGCUCCUAGGCGAACGCGAAGGUAUGUCGACUUUCAGUGGUACAAACUCCAGAAAUUAGUGACUAAAAUCUGAACUGAUGAGUGUGCAUAUGGUAUUCUUGGUGUGAGGAUACUGAAUGAAUGACAACUUGCACUUAUUGAAGAUAAUUAAGAAGUAUUCACAUAUGCGGAUGACCAUGAUUUCUGGACAGUACUGCUAAAUGUUGACAGGCAUUUUCAUGUUGAAGAUUCAGCGAUUUCGUAAUCAGAAUGAGAUGUGCCUGCACCAAGCAAAAGUGGUUUCCCUGAGAUGAAGGCGUGAUACACAAAACUGAAGGCAUUGUUGUGUACGUUUGUCAUUUAGCAAAAAGGUGUGGCAUUCAGAGCAGUUACAGGACCUUCAUAUUUAGGAGUGAUUGUGCGGUAACGACUAGUAUCAUUUAGCAAACGCGAGCAUGUGCUGGAUUCAUCGUGUGCUCCUGUGAUGGUUUGUGCACUGCAUGCAGAGGAGAAGUGUGCCGAGAAGGCCACCAGAAGUGGAGACCGCUCAUGAGAGCUAACUUAGACAUUGAGCGACAUGCCAGCGGAAUAGGCACAUGAGCAAUGUUCGAGCAGUUCGGCCUUAUCCUGUAUGAGUACAGUGCCUACUAGGUGGAGGAGAUAGAUAAGGGGAAGGCGUAUAUAUUGCGAUACACACACAAGGAGAGGCGGUGUGUAGUGUCGUAGAAAGUGAGCAUGGUAGAUGGAGGUGUUUGAUUUCAUCCGGGUUAAGCAAAUCUCGCAGACGCACAUAGUAAAUCCCGCAGAGGGACGUCCUUGCUCCUCACCUUACCCAUUACCAAUAAAAAACCAUUCAGUUUCAGCCAUUUCAAUAUUUAUACAUGAAGGCAGUGGAGCUUGUCUGUCUUGACAACACUAGUGUUAUGCUUAUGACCGUCUUGUGAUGCUGCUCAGUAAUUGCAUGGCUUACGACCAUGUUACCAUUGCAGUUUUCAUAUUAUGAUUGCAUUGCUUAUAUAGAUCAGUCUAUGAAUGAUGUGACUUGUGCUUCUGCUUUGUUCUGAAUUUGGGUACCCUGCAUACUAAUAUCCUGACGACAAAUCUGAAGAGAUGGAGCAAGAUCAGGCUUGGGUGCAAGGACAAAUAGAGUGCAUUGCGCCAUCGGAGGUCAGUACCGCCUCCUCCAUGGUUAUGGGGCCUGAAGCAGACUCAGCUAUUGACGGUGGAUUAGCAUGACGGAGCUGGUGCUUGGAUUAUACAUAAAAGGACUCAGCUCGACGUCUGUGCUCGAGCUCAGAACAAUACUUUUGGCAUGAUAGAUAUCCUGCAUGGAUGUUUUUCUUUUGCUGUCUUCCUUUAGAGAUGUCUGAAUGUUGGUGCUUGGUUUGGCAGGAAAGUGAGGGCUGUCACGAAUAAGGAAGGAAUUGAACUUGGCAGGGAAUAUGGGCGCUUGUGUGUCCAAAGUGGAUGUGGAGCACCGGCUUGAUGGAUCGUAGCAAGUUUGUGUAACGCUGAUGGAUUACCAAGGGGCCGGGGUAAGCUACUGGAUUGAGAGAGUGUAACAUGCAUGUUUCCUCAUGGAAGAAAUUAAAAGGGAUGUCACCCAUCAUCAGCAUGGGUGAAAGAUGGAAGAAAGAUCUCAAGGGAAGGGUCAUGGGUGAAUCCAUUCCAGGGCUUGAGUUUUGUACUACAUGUUACUCUACUGCUUAAUUACUUUUGAGUGCCUUAAUUACUGCUUUCCAUGAGCAACAAACUUAUCCUCCUUCCAUUGAUGUAAAGCAGGAUGGCACCCUUUGAGAUGCUUCUGCUUAUAUUGUAUAUUAUAUAUGGUGCGCAACCAUUUUUAA